CCUACGGUGGCAGCAGUGGGGAAUAUUGGACAAUGGGCGAAAGCCUGAUCCAGCCAUGCCGCGUGUGUGAAGAAGGCCUUCGGGUUGUAAAGCACUUUCAGUGGGGAAGAAAGCCUUGGGGCUAAUACCCUCGAGGAAGGACAUCACCCACAGAAGAAGCACCGGCUAACUCCGUGCCAGCAGCCGCGGUAAUACGGAGGGUGCGAGCGUUAAUCGGAAUUACUGGGCGUAAAGCGCGCGUAGGUGGUCUGAUAAGCCGGUUGUGAAAGCCCCGGGCUCAACCUGGGAACGGCAUCCGGAACUGUCAGGCUAGAGUGCAGGAGAGGAAGGUAGAAUUCCCGGUGUAGCGGUGAAAUGCGUAGAGAUCGGGAGGAAUACCAGUGGCGAAGGCGGCCUUCUGGACUGACACUGACGCUGAGGUGCGAAAGCGUGGGUAGCAAACAGGAUUAGAUACCCCAGUAGUC
rnacentral:rRNA from 1 species